AGACCAACACCCCUGCUCCUGGCGGCUCCCACCCGGGACUUAGACCCUCAGGUCCCUAAUAUCCCGGAGGUGCUCUCAAUCAGAAAGGUCCUGCUCCGCUUCGCAGUGGAAUGGAACGGAUUUAGAAGCCUGCAGUAGGGGAGUGGGGAGUGGAGAGAGGGAGCCCAGAGUUACAGACGGCGGCGAGAGGCCCCAAAGAGUCUGAUGUUUACAAGACCAGAAAUGCCACGGCCGCGUCCUGGCAGAGAAAAGGCUGAAAUGGAGGACCGGCGCCUUCCUUAUAAGUAUGCACAUUGGCGAGAGAAGUGCUGCAACCUAAACCAGCAAUUACACCCAAGCUCGUUGGGGCCUAAGCCAGUACCGACCUGGUAGAAAAAGCAACCACGAAGCUAGAGAGAGAGCCAGAGGAGGGAAGAGAGCGCCAGACGAAGGUGAAAGCGAACCACGCAGAGAAAUGCAGGCAAGGGAGCAAGGCGGCAGUUCCCGGAACAAACGUGGCAGAGGGCAAGACGGGCACUCACAGACAGAGGUUUAUGUAUUUUUAUUUUUUAAAAUCUGAUUU
rnacentral:lncRNA from 1 species